GCAAGGGUGGUGGAAUGGUAGACACGCUACUUUGAGGGGGUAGUGGACUUACGUCUGUGCGAGUUCAAAUCUCGUCUCUUGCACCA
rnacentral:tRNA from 1 species